GAUGAACGCUGGCGGCGUGCCUAAUACAUGCAAGUCGAGCGAACAGACGAGGAGCUUGCUCCUCUGACGUUAGCGGCGGACGGGUGAGUAACACGUGGAUAACCUACCUAUAAGACUGGGAUAACUUCGGGAAACCGGAGCUAAUACCGGAUAAUAUAUUGAACCGCAUGGUUCAAUAGUGAAAGACGGUUUUGCUGUCACUUAUAGAUGGAUCCGCGCCGCAUUAGCUAGUUGGUAAGGUAACGGCUUACCAAGGCAACGAUGCGUAGCCGACCUGAGAGGGGGACGGCCCACAUGGGAGCUGACACGCCACCGAGACACCGAGGGAGGGAACGGGGAGGAACUGGUGGGAGAGGGGGGAACGCGUGAGGAAGGAGCGGCGGGGGGGUGAAGAAGCUCCGGGUAUGGAAAAACUGUUUUAUGGGGGAAAAACAAGUGUGUAAGUAACGAUGCGCGUCUGGCGGUAACUGAAAAAGAAGCCCCGGCUAACUACGGG
rnacentral:rRNA from 1 species